AUUGAACGCUGGCGGCGUGCCUAACACAUGCAAGUCGAGCGGCAGCGCGGGAGCAAUCCUGGCGGCGAGCGGCGGACGGGUGAGUAAUGCUUGGGAAUCUGCCUGUUAGUGGGGGACAACCCGGGAAACGUCGGGCUAAUACCGCAUACGCACUACGGUGGAAAGCCGGGGACCGCAAGGCCUGGCGCUAACAGAUGAGCCCAAGUCGGAUUAGCUAGUUGGUAGGGAACGGCCUACCAAGGCGACGAUCCGUAACUGGUCUGAGAGGACGACCAGUCACACCGGAACUGAGACACGGUCCGGACUCCUACGGGAGGCAGCAGUGGGGAAUAUUGGACAAUGGGGGAAACCCUGAUCCAGCGACGCCGCGUGGGUGAAGAAGGCCUGCGGGUUGUAAAGCCCUUUCAGUGGGGAAGAAAAGCCUCGACCUAACACGUCGGGGUCUUGACGUAACCCAUAGAAGAAGCACCGGCUAACUCUGUGCCAGCAGCAG
rnacentral:rRNA from 1 species